rnacentral:rRNA from 1 species
GACUAGGGUAAAAGAUACAUCCGGGAAUAUGGAACGGGGUAUAAUGAUAGCGCAUGGUGGUAGCGUCAGGGUGUGUGAGCCCUUUCUCUCCGCCCCGGUUGCAGCUGCCGCCGUAUCGAGGCCGCUCGCCGCCGGCCGUAACAGGAACGCUAGGUGCGCGAGUGCCCCCUUUAAAGUGGUGGGUGCGGGAAGGCGAGGGGCCGUCGUCGCGCCGUGGUGUUAAGUGUUUGGGGAUGAGAUGUGGGGGUCUCGUCCGCCGCAGAAGGGGGAGGCGGAGGUACGGCAGGGGCAGGAGGAGGAGGAGGGGGGUGGCCUUCGAAGAGGUGAGGCAUUAGGGGAGAGGGUUGAGUUUUAGGUGGGGCUAAGGCGGGAAGAUGAGGGGAGGAGUGUCGCAGAGGCAAAGUCAACUAAACGACCCGCCACGUCGCCACGGCCUACAGCCUCAGCGGCACGGCCGAGCGCCAGAGGGAGUUCCCGGGGAGCCUGGGGCGGCGCAGGAGCCGGGACGCGCACAGGCAAAGCCUGUGACCUCAGCCCUCGUUCGACCUCCUCAAGGACCUCGACCUACGGGACCGCGCGCUCUGGGGGCACCUCUUUACCCUACCAUGGGAGCAUUAGUGUUGAUGACCUUAGUUACUAUUUCGAUAAAUAGUAAUAGCUAAAUUAGAAGUACUUUCGCAUAGAAGUUCAUGUUCUAAGUCGUUCUACCGAUGGUGUAUGUUCUUAUUACGUUUUAAGUCACCUUGACUUCAUACGGAAACGGAAAGUUUACUGCGACUAUAACUACUGAAGCAUAAUACCGACCAACCAAAACGUGCGUUCUAUCUGCACGAUUCUCGUCGAUUGAAUCGUUAACUCGAGAGGUAACUCGUUUGUUAUUCACGACCUAGUUCUUUACAAAAAGACGGUUUACUUAGACUACUAUGGGUAGAAAGAUAACGGUGUAGUUCAUAACUCGCCGAUCAAAGACCAGAACUUCUAAUACGUGAGAGUGUACCCUUGUGUACACUGUUCACACUACGUACAACAUACUUAUCUCUAGCAGACUUCCGGCCUUGACCUAGACGGUUCUUAAGUCUGUCUUCUUCUCUAUUUCCCGAUGAACAACUUUAUCGGUAUUACCAACGCGUAUGACGUAGACUAGACUCAACGACCUACCAAUUAACAAGUAGAUGAGUCCAAAACGUAAAAGUCCUGAAGUAUGGGACGGGGUAAAGUGUCAGUAGGAAGUUACACGAGUACUCAUACCUGACCGUUUCGAAGCCAAAGUUCAAUUUUCCUCCAAAGUACCUACUGCUUCCUUUACGACACGAACUCACCCUAUUGGACUGUAAACGAGCACAACUAUAACGGUAAGUGUGAAUGGUACCUUAUCAUGUUCUUACCGUCUCUAGACUUGGUCUAUUUAUACAACACUCCUUCCGUGAAUUCGAACGUAACGUAUUGGACUUUCGUCUAGUACGACCUCUCAAAUAGUCAACAGUACCUUUCUUCUAGGAGCUUAUGCAGGGGCUGGAGCGCGUCAGCUAGCGGCCGGACUAGAGCAGCAGGUUGCUGGCUCUCAAGGCUCUGCUUACGCGGCGUGAGGAGCCCGACCCGAGGCCAGUUCUGCAGAGCCUUCCCCGCCAGUCCAGGACGUAGUCGCUGUUCUACCGGGCGUAGUAUCUCUACCCGCUGCCGUUCCUCUUUCGGCUGCUGUCGCGCGGCGGCGGGAUGGACAAGCUCACGCUCUUCGACCUACUUCUGUCGGGCGACGACCUGCUUCUCCUACCUCUGCUCCUGUACUAAAAACUAAAGAUCGUAGCAUCAGUUGAUCCUCAUACUAUACUGUCGGGACGAUCUAUUCAAAUAUAUGCGACUACUGUUCACAGCGACGAAGGAAGAGGGCAUACGUUUUACAUAUUUGUAGUGCAUAUACAGCA